AGUCGAACGAGAAAGUGGAGCAAUCCAUGAGUACAGUGGCGUACGGGUGAGUAACACGUGGGUAAUCUACCCUUUGGUGGGGAAUAACUCUGGGAAACCGGAGCUAAUACCGCAUAAUCCCGAGAGGGAAAAGCAGCAAUGCGCCGAAGGAGGAGCCCGCGGCCGAUUAGCCAGUUGGUAGGGUAAUGGCCUACCAAAGCAAAGAUCGGUAGCCGGCCUGAGAGGGCACACGGCCACACUGGCACUGAAACACGGGCCAGACUCCUACGGGAGGCAGCAGUGGGGAAUCUUGCACAAUGGGGGAAACCCUGAUGCAGCGACGCCGCGUGAGCGAUGAAGCCCUUCGGGGUGUAAAGCUCUUUCGGCAGGGAAGAUUAUGACGGUACCUGCAGAAGCAGCUGCGGCUAACUACGUGCCAGCAGCCGCGGUAAUACGUAGGCAGCAAGCGUUGUUCGGAGUUACUGGGCGUAAAGGGUGUGUAGGCGGCUUUUUAAGUUUGGUGUGAAAUCUCCCGGCUCAACCGGGAGGGUGCGCCGAAUACUGAGAGGCUAGAGUGCGGGAGAGGAAAGUGGAAUUCCUGGUGUAGCGGUGAAAUGCGUAGAUAUCAGGAGGAACACCGGUGGUGUAGACGGCUUUCUGGACCGUAACUAACGCUGAAACACGAAAGCGUGGGUAGCAAACAGGAUUAGAUACCCUGGUAGUCCACGCCCUAAACGAUGCAUAUUUGGUGUGGGUCAUUCAGUUGAUCCGUGCCGGAGCUAACGCGUUAAAUAUGCCGCCUGGGGAGUACAGUCGCAAGGCUGAAACUCAAAGGAAUUGACGGGGGCCCGCACAAGCGGUGGAGCAUGUGGUUCA
rnacentral:rRNA from 1 species